GACGAACGCUGGCGGCGUGCCUAAUACAUGCAAGUCGAACGCAGUGGGGACGGGUGAGUGACACGUGGGUAACCUCCCAUCAGAGGGGAUAACACUUGGAAAAAGGUGCUAAUCCGAUACUGAUUGAUGGACCCGCGGUGCAUUAGCUAGUGGGUGGGGUAAAGGCUCACCAAGGCCACGAUGCGUAGCCGACCUGAGAGGGUGAUCGGCAACACUGGGACUGAGACACGGCCCAGACUCCUACGGGAGGCAGCAGUAGGGAAUCUUCGGCAAUGGACGAAAGUCUGACCGAGCAACGCCGCGUGAGUGAAGAAGGUUUUCGGAUCGUAAAACUCUGUUGGUAGAGAAGCGGUAUCUAACCAGAAAGCAACGGCUAACUACGUGCCAGCAGCCGCGGUAAUUC
rnacentral:rRNA from 1 species